rnacentral:rRNA from 1 species
ACUCAAAUGAAUUGACGGGGACCCGCACAAGCAGCGGAGCAUGUGGUUUAAUUCGAAGCAACGCGAAGAACCUUACCAAGACUUGACAUCGAGUGCCGUCUGCGGAAACGUAGAUUUCCCAGCAAUGGGACACAAAGACAGGUGGUGCAUGGUUGUCGUCAGCUCGUGUCGUGAGAUGUUCGGUUAAGUCCGGCAACGAGCGCAACCCUUACGAUAUGUUGCUAACAUUCAGUUGAGAACUCAUAUCGGACUGCCGUGGUUAACACGGAGGAAGGUGGGGAUGAUGUCAAAUCAUCAUGCCCCUUACGUCUUGGGCUACACACGUGCUACAAUGGGCGCUACAAAGAGCAGCGAGGCCGCAAGGUUCAGCGAAUCUCAAAAAAGCGUUCUCAGUUCGGAUUGAGGGCUGCAACCCGCCCUCAUGAAGCAGGAGUUGCUAGUAAUCCCGAAUCAGCAUGUCGGGGUGAAUGCGUUCCCGGGUCUUGCACACACCGCCCGU